rnacentral:lncRNA from 1 species
ACCAUUUCAGAAAUUACUCAAGUAGCAGUGUCGCACCAGUUAUCAAGCACAAGUUUCCAGCAAGAAAAUAAAAAAUCAAGCACAAGCUGAAGCAGUGGUCCGAUACUCCCAUCAGAAAUCAGAACGAUCAUGUUUCUUCUGCCCUUGAUAAUUUACACGUACGGCACAUUCGUACUCUCAUACUUUUCCCCGGUAAAAUUCACACAGCACAUGAUGCUGCAUCGCGCGCAUCGCACGCAGCUGAUCCAUCAACAGCCGACGGCGGCGGACGGGCAAUCAACGGCCAGCUCACAGGCUGGGCACCCUCUCGGCGGCGCCGGAGAUGACGGUGAGCAGGUUGUUGCCGAAGGGGUCGCUGAGGUGCGCGCACAGGUUCUCAAAGGGGCCCUCGCCGGUGACGUAGGCCUGGAUGAAGAAGCCCAGCAUGGAGAACAUGGCCAGCCGUCCGUUCUUGAUCUCCUUCACCUUGAGCAGCGCCGCCUGGUCGGGGUCGGUGGCGAGGCCGAGCGGGUCGAAUGGGCCACCGGGGUGGAGCUUGUCAUCAAAUUCCUGCCGGAGAGGUUGACGAAACCGUUGGUCAGUACAAGGACGCCUGGCUGAGCUGCGGCAACGAAUAUCUAUGUUUCAGGAUACUGACCAGUCCGUUGGUGAUCCUGUAGUACUCGGCGCCUCCGACGAGGACGACCUCGGCGACGACGGCGAGGAUCAGGUUGAUGGGGAUGCUGUUGCCGAAGUAGUUGAGGGUGUUGCCGUCAAGGAGAAGGGCGCCAGUCU